AAAAGAAGAAAAAAAAAAGAAAAAAGAAAAAAAUACUGCUUCUCCUCCUGCUAUACUGCUGAUAAUAAUAUUAUUAUUGCUGCUGUUUUUGUGAAUAUAUUUUGUCAAACGGGUA
rnacentral:ribozyme from 1 species